CACAGCUGGAAUUUUUCGAAACGGGUCUUUUGUCUUGGAAAUCUUUAUUUUUCAAAUUUCGAAUUCUUCUAUAUAACGGAAUAAAAUCGGAGUUAGACCGUUUGAAGAAGCAGAAUCUCUCUACAAAUCUCUCAUUUUUUCAGAAAACCCUAAAUUCUCAUUUUCGCAAAAUGUCUGGAGAAGUUAAGUACCGGUGCUUUUUUUUCCGGCGAUGUUGCUUGGGUCACCGACGAUCAUGAUCCUGAAAGGACGAUCUCUCACUUCGGCUAGGAUUAUCGAUUCUAAGGAUUAUCUCUUGUGAUUUCUGGAAUUUUUGGUUAGUUGAACUAUAUGGAGAGAAACAAGUUAUGGAAAUUUUGGAGUCUGAUCAAGUUAGUUCUCGAUGAAGAAUUUAAAACUGGUGAUUUUGUGGUUCUGGUUCAUCAUAGUUAAUCAAGGAAGCUGCUCUUUGCUGCAAAUUUCAGAGCCUAGAAUCGUAUCUUAAAACUCAGAAAACAGAGAAUUCUUGAUUGAUUGUUGGUAAUCAAUUGAAGAAUGCAUACACACAUACAUGCAUGCACUCAUACAUUCAUGCAUCCAUGCAUUCAUACAUACAUACAUGCUACAUACAUACAUGGAUAGUUGCAUACUUGCUUCCCUUGCACUUUCAUAAUUGCUUCUUUGAUUCUUUGUCUGAUUCUCUGUUUACUUACUUACAUACUUGCUUGUUUGCAUCCUUUUUUCUUUCUUCAUUCCUUGCUUACUAAUCAGCUUCCCUCCUUUGUUACUUGCGUUGCGUGCUAAUAUGUCCUAGCUUCCUUCUUUGGUUACUUGCGUGCUAACUUUCUUCCUUAUUUUCUACUUUGAUUCCCUGUUUACGCAUUUGUUACAUGCAUACAUACAUACAUUUAUUCAUAAUUGUUUAUAUGUUUCUUUGAUUUGUUAUUACUCACUUGCUUCCUUGAUUCAUUGUCUGAUCCUUUUCCUUAGUUACUUUCUGCUUUCAUUCCUUACUUGCUUGUUUUCUUCUUUUAUUUUUUUAUUCCUUGCUUAAUUACCAGCUUCUUGGUUUGUUUGUGUUCCUUUCUUGCUUCCUGGAUUAUAUUAUUUUCUUACUAACUUGCUUGCUUUUGCAUUUUCUUCCUUGAUUCCUUGGUUAAUUGGCUUCAUUGUUUCGUUGGUUACAUGCUUAAUUUCUUACAUACUGUCUUUUUUUCCUUAAUUCUUUAGUUAACUUGCUUCCGUGUUUCUUUACGGUCUUUCUUUCUUUACCGAGGCUAGGUUAGCCGAAAGACGGCUUCUUACUUUCUAUCGCUUGCUCUUUGCUCUCUAAUUGUCUCAGUUUAUUUUCCACUUUAAUAUUUAUUGUGCUUUAAUAGUACUAGGUUACAAGGCAAAGUCCUCGACAUCAUUAAUGUUGCUACCACAAAGACUAUCGGAAAGACAAGGAUCAAGUUCUACGAUUAUUCUUCCUCUUAACUUUCUCUCUUGGUUUGUUUCUAAUUUUGUUAUUUGUUAGUAUGUGGUAUAAGUAAUGGCAUAAGUUGCAGGAAGAACAAAGUCUCUAAGAGAAGAUUAUCUAUGCAAUGAGUUCCGCUUAUCUGCUUCCUUUUCCAGGUUUCAUUCUGAUUUUAUCAGAUAUUUUUCUUUGUGCUAAUAUAUGGUGAUGAACUUCUGCUGUUUCAGUUGGAUUUCGUUAAUAAGUGUUCAUGGGAUCAAUACAACCAUCAUCAUCAUGAUUUAGUAAGAGAAACAGAAAUGCAUCAAAGUAAUGUAAAUUUAAUGCUCUUGUUCUUAAUCGAAUUGAAUUAUUGAGUCUCUGAUUCAGUUAACAAAUGUGUGUUUUCCACAGGGAAGAAGCUUGAAAAAAUAGAACAAGAGAAGAGACUUUUGUAAAUCUAUCUAAUUUGGUGAUUAACUUCUGCUGUUUCAGAUGGAUUUCCAUAAUCGUGUUCCUGGUGUGGGAAUUAGUACAACAUUAAGCUGCUGAGAACGAUAUAAUUUAGUAAGAGAAACAUGAAUGCAUCAAGAUGUUAUAGGUUGAGACUUCGACUGAAGACGAUGCGGAGCAAGCAUAAUAGUAUCAUUGCAGCUUCAAAGCUUCAUUGCUAAAACUGAUCAUAUUGGAAAGAGAUAGUGCCUGGCAGCUAAAUAGCAUGUUAUUUUCAAUCUUAGGUGUCUAUAUGCCCAAACUCCGAAAAUGUUUGUGACUACUGUUGAAGGACAGGAAAAAAGGGGAUGGCCUAAGAUUCUACAGAACAAAGUUCUCAUAUAUACUAUAUGUGAUGUGGAUGGCACACUGGUCAGAUUUGGGAUGCAAAUGCAAAGCUAAAAAGAAGUCAUAAAACGUUGAUUUGAAAUAAGCAGACGUGUGUCUUUAUUCUCUGGAGCAUGGAAUUCCUCUCAUUGCAGAUCGCUGCUUGACAUUGUUUGACAACCCACUGGUCGACUCUUCACAUGAGCCAAAGGUAGGUUAAUGGCCAAAUUAGCUGAUAAAGGAG